rnacentral:tRNA from 1 species
GCGGUUGUGGCUCAAGUGGUAGAGUGCUCACCUAGCACAUGUGAGGCACUGGGUUCAAUCCUCAGGACCACA